GGAAGGUCUUUUAUCCCCCAAAAGUUCUUUUUCCCCCAGAAGAACACAGCUCCCAAAGGCUGAGCAGUCCCCAGUUAGCCCCUGGCCAUGUCCCCAGGCUCUGAGAGGUUAAGAAUGCAUUUUGGGUAGAUGCAAAUGACCAGAGCAAUGAAUUGACCCUCCAGUACGGCCCCCACCUCCAUAGAAACAGAAGCCAAACAAACAGGCACAAGGCAGCCCUGUUAGCAGAGUGGCAGCAUGUGCUUUGUUAGUCUGUCCCCUGCUUCCAGUGUUAAUUGCUUUGUUCCUUCUCAGAUUAAUUGAUGAGUUGCCGUGUGGACACGCAGAGCCUCGUGUGCAGCCCUGUGGUGUGUGUAACCCUUUGCUACCAGGCACAGACGUUGUGGGGACAUCCUCCCCUCCCACGUGUGCCCAGCUGGAGCUGAGCCCGAGGCGUCUGUGCGCUGUGUGUGCGGGAGAGCGGGAGGAACCGGCCAUAAAUCCCCCAAGGCGCGAUCGCUGCGCUCCCGCCCGGCUGCCAGCGGCAGAGCCGAAGGGCUGA
rnacentral:lncRNA from 1 species